ensembl:lncRNA
UAGAGAUUCUCAAAAAAAAAAAAAAAAAACUUUGCUCUGAAAGAGGGGGGGUGGUAGACAGAAAACGCAGCACAGCCUUUCAGAACAAGAAGUCCUCUCCCAGAUUUACGUUUUCCAAACCAUUGACGUACGUGAAAGAAAACACAGAUGAUAAAUUUUCAUUCUCAGCGCACAUUUCAAGUCAUCACUUCAAUUAUUCCUAUCAGUCCUGUUGUCUGCUGCACUCCCAUUUUUUACCUCCCCCAGCAUAUGAAUGAUACUUCUCAAGUUUUCAGAAGUUUUACAAAGCAGUGCUUUUUUGCGCACCCAAUCUGCAGGUGCAGCAAAGACCUUGGCAAGGGGCAAACCGAUUAUCACUUACGAAAACAGUUACAUCGUAUUGUUCAUAUUUCUUCAAGGUCUUGAGCAAGGCAUAAAUUCUCAUGAAAACGAAGCUAUUGCAGUUCCAGCAUCAGACAGCUAACCAGGUUUAUUCUUUAUACUCUCGCCACAUCUUGAUUUGGCUCGUUGUUCCUUUUUCCUAUGCAUAUACUUCUUUGAGAGUUUGAUCUAAAGAGGCAUAGAGCAUGGGAAAAUGGGGCGACUGAGGUACUCCGCCAUUCAUUCCAAACAGCACCAUUGAGGUGACUAUUGAAACGUGGAGAAAAUGGACAGACAAGCAAAUGAAAGGUGUCUUUGAAGAGGAACUGGAGAUUUUUAUUUUCCUGUUAACAUUUUAUUAUAUUUCUGUUCAAUUGCUUUUCUUUAGUCUAAAAAGCGAUGUAUCACAUCAGUUCUGUGAAAAAUAUUAUGGAACCCUGUAACUGAAUAUACUGCGUGCCAAAUAAAAACCUAAAUGUUUCACACACUAUUCAAAAGUUUGUGUUACCCUAUACCACAAAUUCUAACAAGGUUUGCAAAACUCCAUGCAUAGAGAAAGUAACACUACACACACUACCAGCCAUUUUACUUGCUUAUUAUUGUGCCAUAUUGUUCUAGAUGAAAUAAAUAUUUUAA